rfam:Planktothrix serta PCC 8927 isolate BBR_PRJEB10992 genome assembly, scaffold: BBR_A_PL8927_scaffold50
GAUAACCAAAGAUCGCUCCUGGGUUGAGGGUAGGGUUGGUAAUGAUGCGAACAUCACCACCACCGGGUGCCCAAGUGUCAUAGACACCGCCAAAGGACAUGGCUUUGAACACGAGCAGGAAAGCACCCAGACCUAACAGAAUCAGGUGAUACCCGAUAAUAUUGGUCAUUUGGUUUUUGUCUUUCCA